GAUGAACGUUGGCGGUGUGCCUAAUACAUGCAAGUCGAACGGAGACUGUAGCAAUACUGUCUUAGUGGCGGACGGGUGAGUAACGCGUGAGGAGCUGUCCUAUGCAGGGGGACAACAGCUGGAAACGGCUGCUAAUACCCCAUAAGCCGAGAGGUAAAAGGAUCAAUCCGGCAGAGGAGGUACUCGCGUCCUAUCAGCUAGUAGGUGAGGUAACGGCUCACCUAGGCGAAGACGGGUAGCCGGCCUGAGAGGGCGAACGGCCACACUGGAACUGAGAUACGGUCCAGACUCCUACGGGAGGCAGCAGUGAGGAAUAUUGGACAAUGGGCGCAAGCCUGAUCCAGCCAUCGCCGCGUGAGUGAAGAAGGCCCUCGGGUUGUAAAGCUCUUUUGUCCGGAAAGAAAAGCGCCGGGUUAAUACCCUAGUGUCCUGACGGUACCGGAAGAAUAAGCACCGGCUAACUUCGUG
rnacentral:rRNA from 1 species